UACGUAGGGGGCAAGCGUUGUCCGGAAUCAUUGGGCGUAAAGCGCGCGUAGGCGGCCCGGUAAGUCCGUUGUGAAAGUCAAAGGCUCAACCUUUGAACGCCGAUGGAUACUGCCGGGCUAGAGUCCGGAAGAGGCGAGUGGAAUUCCUGGUGUAGCGGUGGAAUGCGCAGAUAUCAGGAGGAACACCAAUAGCGAAGGCAGCUCGCUGGGACGGUACUGACGCUGAGGCGCGAAAGCGUGGGGGAGCGAACAGG
rnacentral:rRNA from 1 species